rnacentral:rRNA from 1 species
AUUGAACGCUGGCGGCAGGCCUAACACAUGCAAGUCGAGCGAGCGGCGGACGGGUGAGUAAUGUAUGGGGACUGCCCGAUAGAGGGGGAUAACUACUGGCAACGGUGGCUAAUACCGCAUACUAUCGGAUAACCCAUAUGGGAUUAGCUAGUAGGUGUGGUAAAGGCUCACAUAGGCGACGAUCUCUAGCUGGUCUGAGAGGAUGAUCAGCCAGACUGGGACUGGGACACGGCCCAGACGCAUACGGUGGGAGCAAUGGGGAAUAUUGCACAAUGGGAGCAAGCCUGAUGCAGCCAUGCCGGAUGUAUGAAGAAGGCCUUAGGGUUGUAAAGUACGUUCAGCGGGGAGGCGUUAAACGCAGAAGAAGCACCGGCUAACUCCGUGCCAGCCGCCGCGGUAAUAC